CCCCUUCGCCCACCCCACCUCACUCUGCCUUCUGCCCUCCCUCCAAAAAUGGCCUCGACGGUUCCGUGGUACUGCCGCCACGGCGUCCACGGCGAUCUCGCAAAGGAGGUGAACGUCGAUGGCACCGUUGUCUACCGCACUCGUGAGCGACGGUGCGACUGUACGCCACCGCGUCUGUGCCCACUUGUCUUGCCUACGGCGCACCCUCGCCCGCACCCGCCGCCACCGCGGCGCCGGCUCUCCGGCCCACGUACCGCACCGCCGCGAAAAUGCGGCCGUGGACGAGUCGUUGGCACUGGUCGUGAGCGCAUCGUGCCGUCGUGGCAGAAAGCCUAUGCGCCGCUGCCGGAUUCUUCGCUGCCUUGCCCCUCUGGCGAGAUGGACGACACGCGCCUACACGUCUUGGUGCCGCCACUGGCGUUCGACAGCGCUGUCGGCGACUUUUAUGCGGGCUACGUGUCGUCUACGUCGCACGAUGCAGCAGCAACUUUACCGUUCAUCCCGGUCAUCAAUCCUCAGCCCGCCUUGGCAGGGGUAGCGCCGUUCACGGCCGCCGACGAUCCUAUCUCUGCUGCCACCGCGCCUCUCGGGGUGGGCAGCUGCGUUGAUUCGCUGCCGGUAGGCAUGUCACCGGUGCCACAACCGCCGCUGCAGGAGUCACAGCCUGCUGCAGCCGCUGAGCUGCGCAGUGCAGCGCCACUAGCAAGCGGUGCCGGCAACCCACAACCAUCUCCGUCAGCAGCUGCUGUUGCUGCUCCCUCAUCACCGUGCACCGUGGAAAGCCAUGUCAUGGAUCGGCUCUGCGGCUUCCUGCACUGCCCAACAUGUGGCCAACGUGUUGCGGUCGCCACUCCGAGUGGGUUGGAGGCUGUGCAGGACAUGCCUGCGAUGUGUCCGAUGGGGCCACACGUGGCCCCCGGUGCGGAACACAGAACUCAAGCUCGAGGCGCUGCCUCAGUGGGUCGUUUCUGCUUCCUCUGCGGCAUUGACAAGCAGGCACCAACGUGCAAGGCAGAAGCGUCCGUGCCGCCGCCGUUGCCAUCACCACAGCAGCAGCCACUGGCCGCUACGGAGGGGCACACGGCCAACGCUCCCACAAAGGAGGAGGCGUGUGCCCGUCAAACUCUGCCUCCUGCGGCCACAUGUGAGAAUGCGGCUGCGGCGGCGUCGGCGACAACACCACCGCCACCAUCAGUGCCAGCCACCGCCGGAGCUGCGUCGCCAGACCUUCACCUUGAUCAGGAUUUGCGCACUGUGGAUGAGGUGAUAUCGCACCUGCUGCGCAAUGCGACAGAGAACGGUGGGAGAGUGCGGCCGCCAUGCGGGUUGCCACAGUGCCGCCUGUGUGAUCCGUCCGCAGCUGCCGCGACGGCUCCCAGAGUCACCCCCUCGAGGUGGAUGUGUCCUCUAUGGCAGUGCGGAUGGUGGGGUAGGCAGCCGGUGAUGUGCGGCAGCCCAGCCGUGGCCAUCAUUCACCAUCACUACGCCAAGUAGACCUCACCCUGCAUCGGUGACGGCGCAUCGACGUGCGCGUCCUUCCGUUCUUUUGCGUUAUCAUCUACAUUCCGCGUCGCAUCCCCGUCUUCACGAUGGUGUUGCUAUUCUUUACUUUUAGAUCGUCGCUUCGCGUUCUGCUUGUGUCUGUGUGUGCGCGUGUAUGCGCGUGCGCGGUGGAGAGAGCGGCGCACAGAAAGAGGGCGUGAGCAAGACAGGAGAGGGGAGCGCCCAUGAAGCUGUGGAGGUUUGUCUUGUCCGUUCUAAGUCCCGUAUCGCACCCCCACCCUCCCUCGCUCUCGAGCCCCCCCCCUACUCUCGCCUCCUCGCGCUCCUCCGUCCUUGUCGGCUGCGCAUCGCUCGUGCUGCGGCGCUUUACCUUUCGGUGGCGCGUUCUGUGCGCGCGUAUGUAUCUCUUGCCACAGCCGCAAGACGGCGCUGUGCGCCCCCUGCCCCCCCCCUGCACAUGCUGCACCGCCACCGCUCUGCCGCAUCACGAAACGCACCGUCGACGUUUUGCAUAUUUUUUUUCGCCGCGUGCCCGAGACGUGGUCCGCCCGUCGUUCGCAUCGGUGCCUCCCGCCUCUGCUUGUGCAGGCAAAAAGCAGGGCGUGUACGUGCAUGAGCCAGCGGCCCUGGUCUGCUGCACGUCGCGUGCAGGAACGGUGAGACCUUCAGAGGAGACGCAGCAGGCCCGGUACCAUGCAUCGCCAUGGGAGGUGCAAUCGAGUGUGAGCCCCCUCAACUCACCAUCACCAUUUCCCCCCUCCCCGACCGCCGGCUGUCGACCCCAUCCAUCCCUCCCAUCACCCUCCCUCCCUCCCACCCUCCCACCCCCUCUGCCGUGCGCCGCGUCGAUCGGCAG
rnacentral:misc_RNA from 1 species